rnacentral:pre_miRNA from 1 species
CAUAUACUCCCUCCGUCCGGAAAUACUUGUCAUCAAAAUGGAUUAAAGGAGAUGUAUCUAGACGUAUUUUAGUUCUAGAUACAUCCCUUUUCAUCCAUUUUGAUGACAACUAUUUUCGGACGGAGGGAGUAGUUG